rnacentral:rRNA from 1 species
ACUCCUACGGGAGGCAGCAGUAGGGAAUCUUCCGCAAUGGACGAAAGUCUGACGGAGCAACGCCGCGUGAGUGAUGAAGGUUUUCGGAUCGUAAAACUCUGUUGUUAGGGAAGAACAAGUACAAGAGUAACUGCUUGUACCUUGACGGUACCUAACCAGAAAGCCACGGCUAACUACGUGCCAGCAGCCGCGGUAAUACGUAGGUGGCAAGCGUUGUCCGGAAUUAUUGGGCGUAAAGCGCGCGCAGGCGGUCCUUUAAGUCUGAUGUGAAAGCCCACGGCUCAACCGUGGAGGGUCAUUGGAAACUGGGGGACUUGAGUGCAGAAGAGAAGAGUGGAAUUCCACGUGUAGCGGUGAAAUGCGUAGAGAUGUGGAGGAAUACCGGUGGCGAAGGCGGCCCCCUGGACAGAUACUGACACUCAGAUGCGAAAGCGUGGGGAGCAAACAGGAUUAGAUACCCUGGUAGGCGUAG